ACGUAGGGUGCGAGCGUUAAUCGGAAUUACUGGGCGUAAAGCGUGCGCAGGCGGUUGGGCAAGACAGAUGUGAAAUCCCCGGGCUCAACCUGGGAACUGCAUUUGUGACUGGAAGACUGGAGUGCGCCAGAGGGGGAUGGAAUUCCGCGUGUAGCAGUGAAAUGCGUAGAUAUGCGGAGGAGCACCGAUGGCGAAGGCAAUCCCCUGGGCCUGCACUGACGCUCAUGCACGAAAGCGUGGGGAGCAAACAG
rnacentral:rRNA from 1 species